ensembl:lncRNA
UUAAGAAACGCCUAAUUUUUUGUAUUUUAUUUUCAGGUUGUGGUCUAUUGGUCAUGUCAUCUGCAAAGGAGGUGUAUUGGAGUCUUUUCUUGUGAUUACAUCGUAGAGGUGGUAACAACAGCCAACAGAUCCCAUCUGUAUCCAGAUCAGAUGGUCACUGCAGUUACCCAGAUCCAGCACGUAUCCAUCCCAGAUGGUGGAUCAGGACCUAGAGAUGACCUAGACAACGCUGCAUGUCAACUAGAUGAGCCCCAGAGAUAGAUCCCCAGUGAAGACCUUGUCUCCUAGAUGACCACUGGGACAAGACCACGGGAAUCAGAUGAAUCCUCUGCACAAUCUGACUUUGCUGCAGCCUAGAAUUAAACUGCUGGUUUCAUCUGGCCAGAGGAGAAUGGCACACCAUUUCGACACACUAUUCCCCUGUUUAAUACUGUAAAGCCGCUUUGACACAAUCUGCAUUGAAAAAAGCGCUAUAUAAAUAAUGGUGACUUGACUUUGCUCUACUGUUUGAUCUACAGGAAUGCAUUAUAAGGAAUGGAGCUUUAAUAAUUUGUGUGGGAUUAUGAAACAAUUAUGCACA